CCUACGGGUGGCAGCAGUGGGGAAUAUUGCACAAUGGGGGAAACCCUGAUGCAGCGACGCCGCGUGAGUGAAGAAGUAUUUCGGUAUGUAAAGCUCUAUCAGCAGGGAAGAAGAAAGACGGUACCUGACUAAGAAGCCCCGGCUAACUACGUGCCAGCAGCCGGGGUGAUACGGAGGGGGCAAGCGUUAUCCGGGUUUACUGGGUGUAAAGGGAGCGUAGGCGGGUUUGGAAGUCUGAAGUGAAAGCCCAGGGCUCAAACCUGGGCCUGCUGUGGAAACUGUGGAGCUAGAGUGCGGGAGAGGUAAGUGGAAUUCCUGGUGUAGCGGUGAAAUGCGUAGAUAUUAGGAGGAACACCAGUGGCGAAGGCGGCUUACUGGACAGUAACUGACGUUGAGGCUCGAAAGCGUGGGGAGCAAACAGGAUUAGAUACCCUAGUAGUC
rnacentral:rRNA from 1 species